CCUACGGGAGGCAGCAGUGGGGAAUAUUGCACAAUGGGCGAAAGCCUGAUGCAGCAACGCCGCGUGAAGGAAGACGGUUUUCGGAUUGUAAACUUCUGUUCUUAGUGAAGAAUAAUGACGGUAACUAAGCAGCAAGCCACGGCUAACUACGUGCCAGCAGCCGCGGUAAUCCGUAGGUGGCAAGCGUUGUCCGGAAUUACUGGGUGUAAAGGGAGCGUAGGCGGGAAGCCAAGUCAGCUGUGAAAACUACGGGCUUAACCUGUGGACUGCAGUUGAUACUGGCUUUCUUGAGUGAUGUAGAGGUUGGCAGAAUUCCGGGUGUAGCGGUGAAAUGCGUAGAGAGUCGGAGGAACACCGGUGGCGAAGGCGGCCAACUGGGCUUUAACUGACGCUGAGGCGCGAAAGUGUGGGGAGCAAACAGGAUUAGAUACCCCAGUAGUC
rnacentral:rRNA from 1 species